GAUGAACGCUAGCUACAGGCUUAACACAUGCAAGUCGAGGGGCAGCAUGAGGUCAGCUUGCUGACUUUGAUGGCGACCGGCGCACGGGUGAGUAACGCGUAUCCAACCUGCCCAUAACUAAGGGAUAAUCCGUAGAAAUGCGGUCUAAUACCUUAUGUUGUCCGAGGAAGACAUCUGAUUCGGACGAAAGAUUUAUCGGUUAUGGAUGGGGAUGCGUCUGAUUAGCUUGUUGGCGGGGUAACGGCCCACCAAGGCGACGAUCAGUAGGGGUUCUGAGAGGAAGGUCCCCCACAUUGGAACUGAGACACGGUCCAAACUCCUACGGGAGGCAGCAGUGAGGAAUAUUGGUCAAUGGACGAGAGUCUGAACCAGCCAAGUAGCGUGCAGGAUGACGGCCCUAUGGGUUGUAAACUGCUUUUAUACGGGGAUAAAAGGUGUCACGUGUGACAUUUUGCAGGUACCGUAUGAAUAAGGACCGGCUAAUUCCGUG
rnacentral:rRNA from 1 species